AUUGAACGCUGGCGGCAUGCUUUACACAUGCAAGUCGAACGGUAACAGGCCGCAAGGUGCUGACGAGUGGCGAACGGGUGAGUAAUGCAUCGGAACGUGCCCAGUCGUGGGGGAUAACGAAGCGAAAGCUUUGCUAAUACCGCAUAAGAUCUACGGAUGAAAGCAGGGGACCGCAAGGCCUUGCGCGAACGGAGCGGCCGAUGGCAGAUUAGGUAGUUGGUGGGAUAAAAGCUUACCAAGCCGACGAUCUGUAGCUGGUCUGAGAGGACGACCAGCCACACUGGGACUGAGACACGGCCCAGACGCCUACGGGAGGCAGCAGUGGGGAAUUUUGGACAAUGGGCGAAAGCCUGAUCCAGCCAUGCCGCGUGCAGGAUGAAGGCCUUCGGGUUGUAAACUGCUUUUGUACGGAACGAAAAGACUCUUUCUAAUAAAGAGGGUCCAUGACGGUACCGUAAGAAUAAGCACCGGCUAACUACGUGCCAGCCGCCGCAGUAAAAC
rnacentral:rRNA from 1 species